UACAGAGGUCUCAAGCGUUGUUCGGAUUCAUUGGGCGUAAAGGGUGCGUAGGCGGCGCGGUAAGUCGGGUGUGAAAUCUCGGGGCUUAACUCCGAAACUGCAUUCGAUACUGCCGUGCUUGAGGACUGGAGAGGAGACUGGAAUUUACGGUGUAGCGGUGAAAUGCGUAGAUAUCGGAAGGAACACCUGUGGCGAAAGCGGCUCACUGGACCAUAACUGACGCUGAGGCGCGAAAGCUAGGGGAGCAAACAGG
rnacentral:rRNA from 1 species